rnacentral:rRNA from 1 species
CGUCUAUAUACGUAUAGCAUAUCAAUAAGCGGAGGAAAAGAAACUAACAAGGAUUCCCUUAGUAACGGCGAGUGAAGCGGGAAGAGCUCAAAUCUGAAAUCUUCAAGGUUCUACCUUGACGAAUUGUAGUUUAUAGAAGUGUUUUCUGUUAGUGGAGUGGCAAAAGUUCUCUGGAAUAGGACAUCAUAGAGGGUGAGAAUCCCGUAUUUGGUCAUUCUUCUAGCGUUGUGAUACACUUUCAACGAGUCGGAUUGUUUGGGAAUGCAGUCCAAAAUGGGUGGUAAAUUUCAUCUAAAGCUAAAUAUUGGCGAGAGACCGAUAGCGAACAAGUACCGUGAGGGAAAGAUGAAAAGAACUUUGAAAAGAGAGUUAAACAGUACGUGAAAUUGUCAAAAGGGAAGCGUUUGACACCAGUGUUGUUUUUCCGAAAAUCAAUUACGAAUGUUUUAUUUUUGAGGAGUUAUGACUUCAUCGGCUUGCUUCUCUCUUUAUGAAACUUUCUUAAUGCACUUUACGGUUAACAAGUCAACAUCAAUUUCUUUUGUUGUAAAAGGGUAUGAGGAAGGUGGCUUUCUUUUCGGAGAAAGUGUUUAUAGCCUUGUACCUCUGCAAUCGGAGAGAUUGAGGUCUGCAGCGUAGAUCCUUCGGGGUUAGAUACAUUUGUGCUAAGUUAUAGCUUUUCAUAGACAACUUGUUGACUAUGUUUAGUCUUGUAGCUUACUCGCUUAUGCUAUUUUACCUACGCUUAGGAUGUUGACGAGACUGUCGAUCUC